UCUCCUUCUCUUGCAAACAAAACCGGGCGUUCGAGAACCGCUCCCAGAUUCCUUGUGGACGGUCCCUCCCCACUCUUCCCCGGAGACCGCCGGAGUUGGGCAAGAGUCCCUCCCCUUUGUAGCUGUAGUUGUAUUUAGGGUCUUAAUGAAGCAGAUUUGACUUCGAGCUUCUGCCGGUAUCUCUCCUUCUAGAUCUGGCUGGAAAGGCCAUCGGAGACGGCGACGAUAGCAGUGUUUGCUACACUUUUGAACUGGCUCUGGUUGUCAACUUCCAACAAGUGUCCCUUCUUCUGUGCUACCAAUGGAGGCUACUAGUGGCAGGACGCCAUGAGUAUGCUUGGGCGUAUCAGGCUCUGCCGACGAGCUACUUGCUCCCGGCGCUGCCGAUGCCAAACUGCGCACAGAGGAUGAGUGGAUAGAAGGGCACUUCGCAACAGGGUUACGACGAGCAAGGUGGCUACUGUGUCUGUUCUUAUAUAGUUUGUUUCAGAGAACUCAAACUAACAUCUCUCAACUGUCAAUUUGAAGAGAAUUUUGUCAUGGAACAGUCUUCGGUGAAGACUGAUCUAGAACUGGCGAUAUGUUUAUAAGCGUUGUGCAAAAUUUUGGUGAUCUGACUGAGCAGGUCGGUUUUGAAAUAUAGCCAAAAAUCAUGUCAAUGUGCCACUACUGUUUUGCACAAAAUUCUGUUCUGUUUGGGUGGUGCCAAACUACCAACAGAAGACAUGCUGUCUUCUGGUAGACCAAUGCCAAAAUUGCAUAGUUGUAUGUUAUUUAGGGUCUCUAUUGCAUAUGACUUGGAGUUGUCUCUGUUGACAUCACGUGGUAAUGAAAUUUACAACAUCAUUCCUGUCA